UGUUGGAGGUGACUGUGUCACAGCAGAUGGAAUGCUGGUGGUGGCUGUUCCCUAGGGCUUGGUAGCUCAUAUAAAGGGACGGGUAGAUAAAGGGCUGCGCGGUGACAAGGGCCAGACCAGCCUGGAGGCGAGCAGGCGGGUGAGCCAGGGCUCAGGCGAGAGGGCAGGAGGAAGGCAGUGACGGGAGGGCCGCGCUGCUGCGCCCGGGCAGGGAGGCAGCGGCUGCCCGAGGCGCGGCAGAUGGUGGCUGCUCCUCCUUUCGCUUCCAGAGCCAGAAGCUCAUACAAGGCCAGGACCGGAACACGGCGCACUCCUGACAGCAGUCACACAGCCAGACGUUCGCCACCUGCUGCAAGGACACAAGGUUAAGUCUUCGAGUCUGGCAGGGCCCUGGCCAGGGGUUGCGCAUGGUGAGCAGGGGUGGCUGCUCUGCAGUUAUCUUCUCUUUUGCAGCCACAGGCACGCAACGGGAAAGAUCAGACCAUGGCGCGCUCCGGUCCUCAGCCACUCAGGCACGAAGAUUCGCUACCUGCCAUAAGGACACAGACACAAAACGCAGGCCCAGACAGGGAACGGACCAGACCGUGGGGCGCUCCUGUCUCAGACACACAGCCAGAGAUUCGCUUCCUUCUACAAGGGACGCUGACACAAAGUUAAGUCAUGGAGUCUGGCUGAGCCCUGAGCAGGGGUUGCCCAGAUGAACAAGGGUGGCUGCUGCCUUUGCUUGUUAUCCUUCUUUUUGCAGACGCAGGCCCUGACAGCGAAUGGACCAGACCAUGGAGCAGACGGAGAGACCAGAUAAUCAGCUGAUUUUCAUGCGGUUGAGAGGAAUGAGGAUAUCCACAGUGACAUGACACAGUUGAAAAUUUAACUACCUGAACUACGCAGACCCAGACAGGGAGACAGGACCAGACCGUGGCACGCUCACUCCCUCGAGGCAGCUGGAGGCUCCCCACAGCCAUGGGCAAGGGGAGCUUCGCGCCACUCACCCUCCCUGUGUGAAACUGACCUGGAAUAAAAUUUUCUGGUCGUUAACCAUUG